GAGGGCAGUUUCUGAUGAAGUCUAUGAAACACUCCACCCAUCCACAGUAGAUCUAGACCAAUACAGCACCCUUAAACCCACCAUGGCGAAUCCAGGUCUGGAGUCGACAUCAGCGGGUUCAAGAAGCGUUUCAGAUCAUCCUGGAAGUCAAUGAGAAGAAGCUGAAAAAGGAGUGAUGUGAUCGACUCUUGAUUUGGGUUUGAGCUGGCACUUCUGUAUAGUCUGUAUAAAAUAGAUUUUUAGGUUUAGACAAGUAAAUGAUAUGUAAAUAGGAUUUCUCAUUGUAUAGUUUUCAUGGUUUAGUACACAUUAAAAUAGGUUUAUACGUACCGUUAUGGUUUUAUGUAUAAAUGGAUGUGGGCCUGCAAAAAGCAAAGGGAGGAGCUUUGAUCUGAGAGGAAGAGGAAGUUAUAAAGAGUGUUAUAAAGACUGUGGUUGAACUGGCCUGAUAGCUCCUGUACACUUGUUCUCCCUCAAUGGUUAAAAUGUUUUUGCUCUCUUGUCUGCUUUGUGGUGAGUUCAUUUUUACUGCAUUCUCAGUAGCUUGUGUAUAAAUGCUGUAGCUGUUAGAUUAUGUGCUGUUUUGUUUGUUUGAUUUGCUAAAUGAGAAGUGAAGUCAUUUACUUUUUGAAGAGAGUGUUGUUUUUGACAGUGCAAAUAAUAAAAUGGAUCAGUGUUAAUGGAAAUGUCUGUAUUUCAAUCCAUGUAUUCAUUGACACUGUGGCAACUUUAAAA